CGUCGUGAAGAGGGAAACAACCCAGACCGCCAGCUAAGGUCCCAAAGUCAUGGUUAAGUGGGAAACGAUGUGGGAAGGCCCAGACAGCCAGGAUGUUGGCUUAGAAGCAGCCAUCAUUUAAAGAAAGCGUAAUAGCUCACUGGUCGAGUCGGCCUGCGCGGAAGAUGUAACGGGGCUAAACCAUGCACCGAAGCUGCGGCAGCGACGCUUAUGCGUUGUUGGGUAGGGGAGCGUUCUGUAAGCCUGUGAAGGUGUACUGUGAGGUAUGCUGGAGGUAUCAGAAGUGCGAAUGCUGACAUAAGUAACGAUAAAGCGGGUGAAAAGCCCGCUCGCCGGAAGACCAAGGGUUCCUGUCCAACGUUAAUCGGGGCAGGGUGAGUCGACCCCUAAGGCGAGGCCGAAAGGCGUAGUCGAUGGGAAACAGGUUAAUAUUCCUGUACUUGGUGUUACUGCGAAGGGGGGACGGAGAAGGCUAUGUUGGCCGGGCGACGGUUGUCCCGGUUUAAGCGUGUAGGCUGGUUUUCCAGGCAAAUCCGGAAAA
rnacentral:rRNA from 3 species